rnacentral:rRNA from 1 species
UGAGGAACAUGACCUUCGGCGGGGGAUAGCCGGCCCAACGGCCGGGUAAUACCGCGUACGACCACUUUGGGANAUCCCUCGGUGGUGAAAGCAGCAAUGCGCCGAUGGAGUGCCUCGCGGCCUAUCAGCUAGUUGGUGUGGGUAAUGGCCCACCAAGGCGACGACGGGUAGCCGGCCUGAGAGGGUGACCGGCCACACUGGGACUGAGACACGGCCCAGACUCCGUACGGGAGCAG